CCUACGGGUGGCAGCAGUGGGGAAUAUUGCGCAAUGGGCGCAAGCCUGACGCAGCAACGCCGCGUGAAGGAAGAAGGCUUUCGGGUUGUAAACUUCUUUUCUCAGGGACGAAGAUAGUGACGUUACCUGAGGAAUAAGCCACGGCUAACUACGUGCCAGCAGCCGCGGUAAUACGUGGGGGGCAAGCGUUAUGCGGAUUUAUUGGGUGGAAGGGGGGUGUCGGCGGGAGCGCAAGGUAGAUGGGAAAACUCCGGGCUUAACCCUCAGCCUGACUUUGACACCGUGUUGCUUGAGUGCUGGAGAGGCAAGCGGAAUUCCGGGUGUAGCGGUGAAAUGCGUAGAUAUACGGAGGAACACCAGUGGCGAAGGCGGAUUGCUGGACAGUAACUGACGCUGAGGCGCGAAAGCGUGGGGAGCGAACAGGAUUAGAUACCCCAGUAGUC
rnacentral:rRNA from 1 species